AUCGCUUCUCGGCCUCUGGCUAAGAUCACGCACGGUAUCUGUUCCUAUCAGUUUAACACCUGCUAUGUCCUCUGUCUGAGGAUGACAGCAUGUCAAAUGGAUUUGGGGAGCAAGGAGAUGAAUGGGAGCUUGCCCCAUGCAGCGACCUGGUGUUGCGGCACCUCCAGGAAUGGUGCACCCCUC
rnacentral:snRNA from 1 species